rnacentral:rRNA from 1 species
GACGAACGCUGGCGGCGUGCCUAAUACAUGCAAGUCGAGCGAAUCAUUAGGAGCUUGCUCCUGAUGGUUAGCGGCGGACGGGUGAGUAACACGUGGGCAACCUGCCUGUAAGACUGGGAUAACACCGGGAAACCGGUGCUAAUACCGGAUAAUUCUUUCCCUCACAUGAGGGAAAGCUGAAAGUCGGUUUCGGCUGACACUUACAGAUGGGCCCGCGGCGCAUUAGCUAGUUGGUGAGGUAACGGCUCACCAAGGCGACGAUGCGUAGCCGACCUGAGAGGGUGGUCGGCCACACGGGGACUGAGACACGGCCCAGACUCCUACGGGAGGCAGCAGUAGGGAAUCUUCCGGAAUGGACGAAAGUCUGACGGAGCAACGCCGCGUGAGUGAUGAAGGCCUUCGGGUCGUAAAACUCUGUUGUUAGGGAAGAACAAGUAUCGGAGUAACUGCCGGUACCUUGACGGUACCUAACCAGAAAGCCACGGCUAACUACGUGCCAGCCGCCGCGGUAAGAC